GACGAACCGUGCGAACGUUGUUCGGAAUCACUGGGCUUAAAGGGCGCGUAGGCGGCCACCGCAAGUCGACUGUGAAAUCUCCGGGCUUAACCCGGAAAGGUCAGCCGAUACUGCGGGGCUAGAGUGCAGAAGGGGCAACUGGGAAUUCUCGGUGUAGCGGUGAAAUGCGUAGAUAUCGAGAGGAACACCUGCGGCGAAGGCGGGUUGCUGGGCUGACACUGACGCUGAGGCGCGAAAGCUAGGGGAGCGAACGGG
rnacentral:rRNA from 1 species